UAUCGUAACGCAGGACGAAGCACAGCAGAAGCCCUGGCAUCACAAUAUCUCCAAUCCCCAGCAUGGAGAAGUGGCUGCCUGUGGAACUGAAGAGCAACUGGAAUUGGGUUCAUGGCCAAAACAAAAGCAUCCUAACAUGUAAAGAUACAAGAACAGAGUAAUACCCUAACAAAACUUACUGCCUGCCUGCUGCUGCACUGAGCUUGCUGCCCCAGCAGGCCCUGGGCGUGUCUGCUUGCAGAUGUGAGCCACCAGGGAACCCCUGGAGCAGGGACAUGGGGAAUGAUCUCCCUUCAGCACUGCUUGCUUGGUAAGCCACCCUUGCUUAGAUCAGUUUCCAAUUCCUUCCCCAUCAUCUGCAAUUACACAGUAAUUCAGACUGUUCUGAUGUUACAAUAGACCUUGUAUCUUUUAAGAGUGAGGUCACACUAGCAAUCAUCAGGCUGCAGAACUCUCACAAAUGUCGAGAAGUGCAUCCUGCUCUGAACAGGGCACCUUCUACCCCAGCCAGGCUCUUUUCUCUAUGAAUCUGCAGUGUCCAGUCCUCACUGCUCACCACAUUCCUCUACAGCCUGAAGAGGGAAUGACUAAACAGGGAUUUUCCAACAGAGUUAGCACUACUAAGUACAUGGAGGGAAAACAUUCCUCAUGUAGUACAGUGAAAGAAGCUUUUACCUUGGGAACACAAGUUUGCCAGGCAGCGACAGACGGGGAACAUCUCUGCCCACAUUUGGUCCCAGGUGAAGUUUCCGUGAUAACACAUCCAGGGGGUUGUCAGCUGGUUGUGUGGCCACUUUCACCAUAACAUUGCUGUUAAAGAUGUAGGCAGAAAAAAAGACC